rnacentral:rRNA from 1 species
UACGAGGGGGGCGAGCGUUGUUCGGAAUUAUUGGGCGUAAAGGGUGCGUAGGCGGCCUGUCAAGUCUGAUGUGAAAUCCCUGGGCUCAACCCAGGGCCUGCAUCGGAAACUGUCGGGCUUGAGUAUGGGAGAGGUGAGUGGAAUUUCCGGUGUAGCGGUGAAAUGCGUAGAUAUCGGAAGGAACACCUGUGGCGAAAGCGGCUCACUGGACCAUUACUGACGCUGAGGCACGAAAGCUAGGGGAGCAAACAGG